rnacentral:rRNA from 1 species
GUGCUUAAUACAUGCAAGUCGAGCGAGGUUACUGCGACAGAUCCCUUCGGGGUGAAGUUGCUUUAGCCUAGCGGCGGACGGGUGAGUAACGCGUGGGUAACCUACCCUAAAGUUCGGGAUAACAGCGGGAAACCGCUGCUAAUACCGGAUGCCUUUACCGUGUGGCAUCACAGGGUAAAGAAAGGUAACGCUUUAGGAUGGGCCCGCGUCCCAUUAGCUAGUUGGUGAGGUAACAGCUCACCAAGGCGACGAUGGGUAGCCGGCCUGAGAGGGUGGACGGCCACACUGGGACUGAGACACGGCCCAGACUCCUACGGGAGGCAGCAGUAGGGAAUAUUGCGCAAUGGACGGAAGUCUGACGCAGCGACGCCGCGUGAGCGAUGAAGGCCUUCGGGUCGUAAAGCUCUGUCCUUGGGGAAGAAGGUCUUCGGACUUGACGGUACCCAAGAAGAAAGCCCCGGCUAACUACGUGCCAGCAGCCGCGGUAAUACGUAGGGGGCGAGCGUUGUCCGGAAUUACUGGGCGUAAAGGGUGCGUAGGCGGCCCUUUAAGUCAGAUGUGAAAGCCCGCAGCUUAACUGCGGAAUUGCAUUUGAAACUGGAGGGCUUGAGUGUCGGAGAGGGUAGUGGAAUU